rnacentral:rRNA from 1 species
UCAGAGGGGAAGUAACCCGGACGAAAGUCGGACGUAAUACCGACAGUAAAACAAGGGGCACCGCAUGGUGAUAUUUGUUAAGAAAUUCGCUGAUAGAUGGGCAUGCGUUCCAUUAGGUAGUUGGUGAGGUAACGGCUCACCAAGCCGACGAUGGAUAGGGAACUGAGAGGUUGGUCCCCCACACUGGUACUGAGACACGGACCAGACUCCUACGGGAGGCAGCAGUGAGGAAUAUUGGUCAAUGGGCGGGAGCCUGAACCAGCCAAGUCGCCGUGAAGGAAGAAGGAUCUAUGGUUCGUAAACUUCUUUUGCAGGGGAAUAAAGUGCAGGACGUGUCCUGUUUUGUAUGUACCCUGAGAAUAAGGAUCGGCUAACUCCGUGCCAGCCGCCGC